CUGCAAUAGAAACCAAAACCUACAUGCCUCUAUUACUAUACCAAAUGAAGCUUUGGAAAAAAGCCACACUUUGAGAACGCUCAGGAAGAAUUAGCAAAACUGAUCCUGCCAUAAACAAUACAACCCAAAGAGUUCUUUCCUGAGACUAAAAUUAUUUGGCUACGAGGAGGGAAGGAUGGUGAAGAAUACAGUUUAGGAAGUGAUCUAGCUGAGAAAGUUGCAGUUGGAUUAGAGUCAAAAAUUCCAGAGCAGCAGGCCCAAGGAAGAAUAACAGUAUGCAGAAAUGAGGCAUUUGGCUGCUUAAGAAAUCAAGAGAGGGGCACACAAACAGGAGAAUUAAAAAGAAACACAAAGAAAUGUUCUUCAGAUAUAAAUGGAAAUUCCAGAAGUGUAGUGAAGGCAUCAUAAUGGUAAUCACUUAUCCCCACCAAACUGUG
rnacentral:lncRNA from 1 species